UACGGAGAGGGCUAGCGUUAUUCGGAAUUACUGGGCGUAAAGCGCACGUAGGCGGAUUGGAAAGUCAGAGGUGAAAUCCCAGAGCUCAACUUUGGAACUGCCUUUGAAACUCCCAGUCUUGAGGUCGAGAGAGGUGAGUGGAAUUCCGAGUGUAGAGGUGAAAUUCGUAGAUAUUCGGAGGAACACCAGUGGCGAAGGCGGCUCACUGGCUCGAUACUGACGCUGAGGUGCGAAAGCGUGGGGAGCAAACAGG
rnacentral:rRNA from 1 species